rnacentral:misc_RNA from 1 species
UACAGAAGCCUCAAGCGUUAUCCGGAUUUACUGGGCGUAAAGCGCGUGCAGGUGGUUUGGAAAGUUGGGUGUUAAAGCUCUCGGCUCAACCGGGAGUUGUCGCUCAAAACUAGCAGACUAGAGGACGGUAGAGGGAGGUGGAAUUCCGGGUGUAGUGGUGAAAUGCGUAGAUAUCCGGAGGAACACCAGUGGCGAAGGCGGCCUCCUGGCCCGUUCCUGACACUCAGACACGAAAGCUAGGGUAGCAAACGGG